rnacentral:rRNA from 1 species
ACUUGAAUGAUUUAAUUAAUUGGGAUUUUAAUGUUAUAAUGAUUAAAUUAGUAUUUUAUUUAAUUAAAUUAUAGGAACUCGGCAAAUUUAGUGUUCGCCUGUUUAACAAAAACAUGUCCUUUUGUUUAUUUAUUUAAGGUCUGACCUGCCCAAUGAGGAAUUCAAUGGCCGCAGUAUUUUAACUGUGCUAAGGUAGCAUAAUCAUUUGUCUUUUAAUUGAGGGCUGGAAUGAAAGGUUGGACGAGAUAUUAACUUUCUUUAGUUUAAUUUUAAGAAUUUAAUUUUUAAGUUAAAAAGCUUAAAUUUAUUUGUUGGACGAGAAGACCCUAUAGAUCUUUAUAAUUUUAUAUUUUGAUAAUUUGGUGAUUUUAUUUAUUGUAAGUAGAAGAAUUAUUUUGUUGGGGUGACUGUAGAAUUUUAUUAACUUCUAUUAUUUUUAUUUCAUUGAUUGGUGUUUUUUUGAUCCAUAUAUUUAUGAUUAAAAGAUUAAGUUACCUUA